GUGACUUGUGUCUGGAUGGCUUAGAGAGCAAGCAGAGGAGGUGAGACAUCCAUGGGGGUCUUGGGCCAUAUUUAGCUUUCCACUGAAUGAGAAUAGAAAGAGACCACGCACCUUGUUUCAUGCUUAUAGAGGAGACUGCAUUUAAAGAAGGAAAAAUUAGUUUUACCCCACUGAAAAUUUUGCAGUUGUGCUGGUUUUGGUUUGAAUACAGUGAGUUUUCUUCAUAGUUGCUGGUGUAGGGCUACGUUUUGGAUCUUCCUUGAAAGCAGGGUUGAUAAUUAAAAGUGAAUAAUAAAAUGAAGUCAUCUGAUUCUUUCCCCCAUCCUGCUAAUGGGAAGCUUGUUUGCUGACUGGGGUUAAACCAAUAUAUAAACUGUGUUGUAAAACAAGUUUUUCUGUAAGUCAUUGUGACUUCGUGACUUCCAAACUUGAUCUUCUGUCACAGUUUAUUCCCUCAAAACUCAUUCUGCCAGACUUCAGAUGAACCUCAAACAAGUUGGGAUCUCUGUUACCAGUAACUAUACCACAUCAGAGGAGUGGCGAUAUUCUUUUCUACUCCAGUAACGACCGGCGAUAUUCUUUUCUACUCCAGUAACGACCAACUUCAGCCGAAGUGUGACAAAUGCCUGUAUUGGGCAACUUCCUAACUGCAUCUCCGAGGCAUGAAUCGCCAAAUAAAAUUGGUGUACUGGGAAUGCGACCUUUCUGGAGGUUUGAGGCAGACGCUCUCAGGGAGGCGGGGGCUGUCUGCUCGGGGCCACGGAAGGAGUGCUGGCCGGGCCCGGCGGGGCCCUCAGUGCCACCAACACCGCGGCGGCUCAGGCGUGGCCUCCGCUAACAGCGCCCCUGUCCUGUUGCUGCCCGGUGAAACGAGAAGCCGCCUCUUGCGGGGUCACCGAGGUGUCUGAGGGCUUUUAGCCCGGUGGGGCUGGCGAGAAGAGCGCUGGGGCUGGGUCAGCGACGUCCGACGCCCUCAGUCCCUGGCUGGGCCGGCUGUGCCCUCACGCCCUCGCCGCGACGCCGCGCGGGGCUCAGGGCUGAGGCGGCGAGGGGAAGGAGCGCGGCCCUUCAAGAGAGCCGUUCAGCCUUCCGCGGGCCGCCGGCGCCGAGACCCGCCAAGCAACGUCUGGAAAACAUGUCCUAUGGAAAGUGGCUGAGGGAGCUGGGUUUGCGUAGUCCCGACGAGGCUCCGGGUGGACCUCAUCACUCUCUACAACUGCCUGAAAGGAGGUUGUAGUGGGCUGGGGGCCGGUCUCUUCUGCCAUGCCCACGGUGAGGGGAGCAGAGGAAAUGGCUUUAAGCUGAGACGGCGGCUGUUCGGGUAGUCAGGCAAUGGAAUAAGUUGCCCCGGGCGGUGGUGGCACUAUCCCUCGUGGUGUUUAAGAGAAAGAAACGUCUGGAUGUGGCGCUGGCUGAUGUGAUUUAGAGGUUUAGGGGUGAUUCUGAUGGUGCUGGAUUGACGGUUCCACUGGACGGUAUUAAAGAUCUCUUCCAACGUCGAUGAUUCCACGAUUCCAUGCCUCCGUGAUUUCUCCGACUCAGUGAUUCUCUUCCGUGAUUCCAUUCUCACCCCUUGCGGCGCGGGGCGGGACCCACCGCGGUUGUCACGGGAAAGGGAGGGAAGGGCUGCGGGCGCCCCGCCCGUCAGCUGUUGCUGCCCGGGCCCCGAUUGGCGCCGCGCGGCGCCGCCCGGCUCCCGCUAUAAGGCGGAGGCGCGGGCGGCGAAGGAGCUGCCGCGGCUGCGGCGAGGCUGGUCGGGGAAGAGCAAGAAGGAAGACUUGCCAGACAAGAUCCAAAACCAGGAUGACCUUCGCCUUUAAUAAGGUGAUUCAGAAACUGUGUGCAUAGAGGACUCCUAGCCAGAGCUGCUUGCUGCAGCUAAUUAGCCACAGAAAAGACCUGUUCUUCUAUUCCUCAUCAAAACUAUGGUAAGGGUGGGAAAAGAUGAAUUGCAUUGAAACCUUCUACUAAACAGCUCCCUGCUUCUAAAAUAGCCUCUGGCCAAGCCCCAGCCUCUGCAAGCUUACUUGGCAUUAUCACAAGGUGGUAUUACCUGGAGUUAAUGAAGAAUAACAGUGAUGCCAUUUUUUUAAUGUGCAAGUGGUGAAGCCUGAGCACUCCUGUAUUGUAAAGGCCUUACUUUCUAUGGGUUGUGUGGGUGCCACUUGUGUGCCAGUGGUUAAUGUACAGCACUGAUCUUCCCUGUGGGUUCUCCCCUUGUCUUCCAUUGGCAAGAAGGGUGUUACUGAGAUGAGUAUGCAGCAUUCCUCAAAAGGGAUUUUUUUACUAGAGAAACAGGAGAAAGCAUUUUUCACAAUUAGAAGCUGUUGUUGGAGGCUUUUUAAGGAAAUAGUUCUGAUUUUUAAACAGAAAUUAGGCUGAAGGUCACUCUUUUAGUUUUAUUCUCAUUUCUUUACUGUGCCCCAUUUAACUUACUUUAGGUGGAAUACUAUAAUACAGUAGGUCCCACCUCCUCCUCUCCCUGCCACCUCACCCCUCCCUCCCUAAAAAAAAGCCGAAAGACUUAAUACUUGAACCUUGAACAGAAGUGUUUGAUGAGGACUUCAGUAUAUCUGGGUGAACUAUAAACUGCUUUUUUGCCUCUCCCUACAGCUUUGGCUUGAAUGGUAGCAGUGAAACAUGCCUGUGGGCAUUAAAAAUAGUGACCUUAGCAGCAUAAUGCCUGUAAUAAUGAAAAACUUGGUUUAGGAACUAAUUUCAAUCUUCCACUGCAUUUGUCCCCUAGCAGCCGUCUGCAGUUCAGACUGUCUUUCUGUUUGUCCUUUAGUUACAGCUUUUCAAUUGGAUAAUAAAACUUCACAAAUGAAUUUUUGGGUAGAAGCUGGUAUUAGGAAAAAAAAAAAGGCAAGUUAAUUACGGAAACAUGGUUUCUAGCUGAUGUUUUCACUGCUUGAUUGCUGUAAGAACUAAAAUAGGCUAUUUGCAGUUCACACCAGUCAUCUGACUAAUCUUGCUAAUGAGUAAAUAUGCUUAGAUGCUUGAUUUGACAGCAAGUGUGGUGGGAAGGGACAUAGCUCUACAAGUGCCACCAAAUAUAUGGAUGGUGCUGGCAAUCCCUUUGAAGAUCAGGAAUUUACAGCCUCUAAUAUCUUCCAGUAAGUGAUGAAUGAAGGCAGUGCUGCUACUGGUAUGCUUAGAGGGGCUUUUAACUCAGGUAGGCUUUAAGGGGAAAGUGAGUCUGAACAGUUAGUGGCCUUUAAGUCAGUUUAAGGGGAUCUACAAAAUGCAGUAUUUCCCCUGGAAGGGGAGUACAGAGACAGCUUAAUCUGGAUUCCAGUUAGUUGCUGGUGGAAAGAACAGCAAGGUUGGAGUUGUGUGUCCAGAAAACAACACAAUCCCAAGGCUUCUUUGAAAGUUCUUGCUAAUAUAGUUACAACAUGCAAAUGUACUGUGCUAAGGGUAGAACUAAGACUGCAGGAGAGCUUUAGUUCUAGCUGUACAGUGACCUAAAGCCAGAAAAAUAGCAGAGUGAGCUAGCAACAACACUAUAGCUUCCAAACUAUCUAAAACUACUGUCACACACUACUAACUAGUUGUUUGAGCUAUCU